ACUCCCCGCUGAGCAGGGAGCCCGAUGCGGGGCUCCAUCCCAGGACCCUGGGAUCAUGACCUGAGCCGAAGGCAGAUGCUUGACCUACUGAGCCACACAGGCACCCCUAUUUCUCAUCUUUUAGGAAUAAAGAUGAGGAGACGUAGGAAGACCAGGUGACAACAAUGGCCUAAGAGUCUUUGGGAAGCUUGGGUCGAAGCCCCCGAACUACCGUGUCCUCUCCGGCUGAUUCUGGGCAAGCCUCCUCGUCUCUGGGCUCCUCCUUGUUCUUCACCUGCUCCCCACAGCCCACCUCAAAUACAGGCCGGGCCUCUUAAGAAGCACCCAAUACGCCCCAGAGUGCAGUCAGCCUCCGAAAGUAAGCCGGAGAAGCUGCUCUCAUAGAGAAGAGCCCAAGACCCUGCCCAGAAACGGGCCCACCAAUCUCGUCCUGACAGCCUGCUCCUGACAACAUGCUCGCGACCCUCUGACCAAAACGGGAUUUAGCCACGCAUGAUCCAGACUGCAGGUUACAGAAAAGUAGCAGGUAGAGGGGGAGAACAACGAAAAAGGACAGAGUGAACUACCGCGCCGUGGGGGGGGGGGGGGGGGGCAGCCCUCCCCACCCCUCCGGUAAGGAGCCCGCUGAGUGGGUCAUCAGAGUGGUAUUCGGCUGCUCCCAGUCCUGCCAAGCCUCCCGGACUGAAGGCAAGUCAGCAGCCGGGCUCCCCAAGAGGCUACCUCCACUCAGGCCAGAACCAGGCCCCCAUCGCAAGGGCUCUAAGAUAAACAGUUAACACUGGGGGUGCGCCAAGGGGUGAAGGUCUGCUUGGCAGGAUAAACAUUCUCGCCGCCAGGCCCCCCAGGUUCAAGUGUGCUUCAGAGCCGUCUGUGCGCCCGAAGCCACAGCGUUCCAAGCCUCUCCCCACACUUAAGCACUUGGAAAGAACACAGGCUCUUAAAUAAGCCAGCCCUGGAUUCGACUCCCGGCGCCGGCCGCUGACUGCGACCUGACCCGAAGUUCCGAACUCCUGAGUUACCAUUUCUUCAUCUGUAAAAUUCCAAAAACAACUCCUCCUCCUCUGACCGUAGGGGGGGAUUAGAUCAGGUAACACAGGGGGCUCCCAGCACAGGCCUCACAGGCAGGAGGGGCCGAGGGGCUGGGGACAGUGGAACCAGUCAGGAACUGAGAGCCGCUGAAGUUCAGCCUGGUUCUGAGACCAGUGGCCAGCUUUCGUCCUGGGGGUGAGACACCGGAACCUCAGGAAAACCCCAGAUUCACUGUUUCUGUUGACUUAGCACGGCAGCCUCGCGAUGCCAGCAACGGGCAGUCUGUUCCCCCCACAGCACGCCAGGGAGACAGGGUGCUCCGAUCAGAGGCAGUCCCUCAACCAGCCAGAGUUUCUAAUGGGGGCGGGGUGGUGGGGGCUGGGCAGUAAGGUCCCGGUAAAUGUGAACUUGAGCCUGGGCAGGGCAGCCAUCGGCCUUCCCUAGGCCCAGGCAGAGGGUUGCAAACAGCCGGACCACCUACCACCCAACUGUCAGUGCUCAGAGAGUGGGAGACAGCCUGGAGCCAGCACCCAAGGCCGCCGGGUGCAGAGGACAUGGCCACCGCCACCAUCUCCCCCCUGGCCCCAAGAGCCACAGGACAGCAUGCCCAGAGAGACGCCCCCAGCAGAAACCGAGGACGGGAGGGCCGAGGAGCAGGCGAGGGAAGCGGGCAGGGAGCCUUUUAUGGCUGCCUCUGGGAACGGCAGGUCAGCCCUGGAAAAGCAAGGCCUCAGGAAUGAAUGACAGUUCCCUCUCAGCAAAAAUGAGGCCCAACUCGUCCUCUCGUCACACUGCCUGUCCUCAGACCACCGCACGCUGACGGAGCACAGAUUCGCAGAGCUGGGGAGGCAGCGAUGCCGGAUGCAAGAGGAAUUGUAUUUUGGGCUCAAGGAGCGCAGAUUCUGAGCGGUGCGUAGGCGAGGACCACUUCUCACGCUCGAAGAAUGCCUCGUACCACCAAAUAUAAAUGGAACGUUCGCAAGCGCUCACACAGCUGCUCGAGCCGGCUGUCGACUCGCAGCCUCGGAACGCACAGGGGCCGGGCGCCGGCUGGUACCAGUCCUCCGCGGGCGGCGGCCCACACCCCUCGGCAGAGCGCCGCAUUCCCACCAAAGGCUCGGGCCAAAAGCUGUCCAGGGGACGGGGGGGGGGGGGUGGGGGGGUGGGGAAUGGCGGGGGUGAGAGGGAGGCUUGGAGGAGGCUGGGGGCCUUGGGAAGGGAAAUUCCAGCUGACUCAGUGUUCCCCUAGCCUCUGGCCUCCUCGGGAUGUUAGUCAGAAAAAGGUCUUUCUAAUCAGUCUGGGAAUCCCUGGAUUUUUGGGUGUCUAUUUGUAAUUAGCUGACAUUGGCUGAACAUAUCACUGAGCACUAGGUACUAGGGCAAGGGGUUAGCACAUGGGCUGCAGUAACUCCCCAGGGUCCCCGGCUCCUAAAGUAUUGCGCUGGGGCCUGAACCUUCUGUCAUCAUCUGUACUGUGGGCGCUGGGAAUCCAAGAGGGAUGCAGCACGUGGCCUAGCCCAAGGCCUGCAGGCAACCUCAUGGAGCAUUCUAAGGGCUGCAGAAAACCCUGACCUGGAUGGAGGGCUUUUAGGGGUGGGGCAGCUCCGGAGGUAGUCAGCACAGGGGUCAGCAGGAAGGGAGGGCUGCCCACAGCGCGGCCCCAUCUCGGAGUCAGAGGACUCCGUUCUGCACCUGGAAGGCCCUACCUGCCUAAUGGGAUGGCUUCCAGGCUUGGAGGGAGCCUGGGAACCAGGGACAGUCAGCAGGAGGGCAAAUGAGAAGCUAGGGGACCAGCCAGCCUCGACCAGGGGUCCUACACCCACCCACAGAGGGUGUGGGGUGGAGGGAGCGAUUUCUGGCUAGAGGCAGAGAACAGGGAAAAGGAAGAAGAUAUCAGCAUGGUUGUUCCAAGCCCUGGACCUCGGGUCCAUCUGUGAACUCAGAGUCUGAUUUCAGGGCGGGAGAGAAGGCGAAGGCCUAUCAGGAGAGUGCAGAAGCCCUGCGCGGUCACCACCUGAGGGUCAAAGACUCGCCCGGUCUGCACUGUCAGCGCUCCCAGGAGCCGAGCUGAGCCGAGCCUCCGCUCUCAGCAACCGGGUGGCGGGAGCACAGCUCCUGCUGGGCCCGCAGACACACGCUAGCCCAUGCAGCAAGCCUCGGCCUCCUCAUCUGCAGAGCAGCAGCGUCCUCCCACGGGCAGCUGUGGGACAGCUAAGGGGUGCUGGCUCCCGAGGCGAGGACGCAGAUGGUAUGCAGAAAGCCGGGCACAAGGCCGGCUGGGCGUCGGUCCCCAAACCCAAGUUUAAGGAACGCUUCCCUGCUGACGCGACUCGCGUGGGGGAAACCAAGGCGCAGAAGUUACGGCCAGCUCGCAGCCGCAUGGUGACAGUGGCAGGGAGAGCCCUGGCCAGGACCCUGAGCCUGCCCCCCGGGGACCCGCUCUGGGAAACCUCUGCUCUGGCUCGUGCCUGUGCAGGCGUGGGCGGCAGCCUGGGAGCCAAGGGCGCCCGCUCCACCGGGCCCUGGGUGCCCUUUGGAAUGCCCUUUAUCAGUCACAUAGCACUCAAGAAUGAAUGUUGUCCCCACAGAUCACCCUUCUCUGCUGACAUACGAGAACGUUUAUCUUUAAAGUCCCUCAGAUUAGCACAACGGGGAAGUGUACCGAGACCCCCACGGAAGCCUCUUCUCUUUCCCGGAAUAAUUCUCAGGGGUCUCUCGCAGAGCCUGGCCUCUAUCCUGACUGCUCUGGGCCUGCACAGCCCCUACGUUAUCUUUCCAGACAGUAUUUCCUGCACACGGAACGAGAUCGGCAGACCACAGAAGCGCACGCUGCUUGCCCAGGACCCGUGUUUUCUGCUGGCCCUAUCUCGCUGAGAGGGAAACACCUGCUCUCCAUGCUGUCAGCAAAGGGAGCAGACGGGCGAGCUGGCCGGGGAGCCUGGAACGCACUGCCCUCCCCUGACUUCCUCUGCUGGACAGGGCAACACGGGACCUUUGCGAAGACUGGUGGGCGGGGCCUCCAAGCAGAAGGCCACUCCUUCCCCGCCCAGCUAGCGGCCACCUCCCUUGAGGAUCACGGCCAACAGAGCGGAGAGGUGCUGCGUGAUGAUCUCUCUCUGGCUGAUAAAACGCCGACACCAUGGGGCGCCUGGGUGGCUCAGUUGGUUGGGCGACUGCCUUCGGCUCAGGUCAUGAUCCUGGAGCCCCGGGAUCAAGUCCCGCAUCGGGCUCCCUGCUCGGUGGGGAGUC